UUAUACGGCGAAACUGCGAAUGGCUCAUUAAAUCAGUUAUCGUUUAUUUGAUAGCCCCUUACUACUUGGAUAACCGUGGUAAUUCUAGAGCUAAUACAUGCUGAAAACCCCGACUUCGGAAGGGAUGUAUUUAUUAGAUUAAAAACCAAUGCCCCUCGGGGCUCACUGGUGAUUCAUGAUAACUUCUCGAAUCGCACGGCCUUGCGCCGGCGAUGGCUCAUUCAAAUUUCUGCCCUAUCAACUUUCGACGGCUGGAUCUGGGCCCGCCAUGGUGACAACGGGUAACGGAGGGUUAGGGCUCGGCCCCGGAGAAGGAGCCUGAGAAACGGCUACUACAUCCAAGGAAGGCAGCAGGCGCGCAAAUUACCCAAUCCCGACUCGGGGAGGUAGUGACAAUAAAUACUGAUACAGGGCUCUUUUGGGUCUUGUAAUUGGAAUGAGUACAAUUUAAUUCCCUUAACGAGGAACAAUUGGAGGGCAAGUCUGGUGCCAGCAGCCGCGGUAAUUCCAGCUCCAAUAGCGUAUAUUAAAGUUGUUGCAGUUAAAAAGCUCGUAGUUGAACCUUGGGCCUGGCUGGCCGGUCCGCCUCACCGCGUGCACUGGUCCGGCCGGGUCUUUCCCUCUGGGGAGCCGCAUACCCUUCACUGGGCGUGUCGGGGAACCAGGACAUUUACUUUGAAAAAAUUAGAGUGUUCAAAGCAGGCUUAUGCUCGAAUACAUUAGCAUGGAAUAAUAGAAUAGGACGCGCGGUUCUAUUUUGUUGGUUUCUAGGACCGCCGUAAUGAUUAAUAGGGACAGUCGGGGGCAUCAGUAUUCAAUAGUCAGAGGUGAAA
rnacentral:rRNA from 1 species